GCCAGGCAGGGCAAAGCCAUGGAUGAUAUCAGGAACAGUUACCGUGACUAUUGACCCCUGUCCUGGUGCCAGCCAAGCAGUGGAAACCAUGGCCAUGAAUGGACACAUCUGGAAAGCUGAUGAAUAUUCUACUGUGAUGCUCCACCGCGACCUCCAGGUAAAACCCAGAUUUCUUAGGUUGUGUAAAAAGGAAGUUCUUAGUAGCUUACAGAAAUACUGUGAGUGAUGGUGAAUCAGGCUGCCACACGGAUCCUGACAGGGGUGCCAGAAGGAGAGGAGAAAAAGAAAGAAAUUGGAAAUCUAUUUGAAAAAAUAAUGAGAGAAAAUUUCCCUAAUUUGGUGAAAGAAAUAGACAUGUAAGUCCAGCACGAGGAUCUUGAACAAGAUGGAUGCAAAGAGGCCCACUCCAGGGCUAUCAUAAUUAUAAUGCCAAAGGUUAAAGGUAAAGAAAUUUUUUUAUAAGAUCAAAUAAAUU